rnacentral:rRNA from 1 species
GAUGAACGCUAGCGGGAGGCUUAACACAUGCAAGUCGAGGGGCAGCAUAAUGUAGCAAUACGUUGAUGGCGACCGGCGCACGGGUGAGUAACGCGUAUGCAACCUACCCUGUACAGGGGGGAUAACCCGGAGAAAUUCGGACUAAUACUCCAUAAAGAUAUUAUGAGGCAUCUUAUAAUAUUUAAAGCUCAGGUGGUACGGGAUGGGCAUGCGUAACAUUAGCUAGUUGGUAAGGUAACGGCUUACCAAGGCUUCGAUGUUUAGGGGUCCUGAGAGGGUGAUCCCCCACACUGGUACUGAGACACGGACCAGACUCCUACGGGAGGCUG